UGGAUUUGCUUGCAGCUGGAUGUGUGAACAUGGCAGAGUUCAACAGUGUUGGGAGAGGGAGGAAGCCUAUUAGGCCUCCUACAGCGAUCUCGUGGCAGAUGAGUUGGAGCUGUGAGAACAGCAUCCUUUGGAAAGAACAAGAGAAGG